CCUCCUUUCAAGGACAGGUUUCGAAAACUUCAGGGUUUUCCUGGAGUGUGUUGAAAUCUAUACCUUUACAAUACUUANAGCGCUAAUAUCUGCCGCCGUCUUCGUAUCCCUUUCCAAUUUGCCCGAUCCAAGCAGAAUGUUUUUGGAGGUUACCAGUGAAUAUUUGUUUGAGCAGGACAUGGUCCGAUCAUUCGGGCCUGUAGCUCAGCCCGGUUAGAGCGCACGCCUGAUAAGCGUGAGGUCGGAAGUUCAAGUCUUCCCAGGCCCACCAUUUUUCAUUAUCGGGGGCGUAACUCAUUUGGGAGAGCGGUAGCUUUGCAAGCUUCAGGUCGUCGGUUCGAUCCCGUCCGCCUCCACCAUUUUUGGUGAAAUCCAUGUCUAUGGUUUCGUUAUAACGAUGGCGUUAUUACGAGGGUAAAUUAUAAGAGAAAAGUGUUUCAAAUUAGUUAGUUAUGACUAUUUGGUUUGCUCUU
rnacentral:tRNA from 1 species